CACGGGGGGAGCAAGCGUUGUUCGGAAUCACUGGGCGUAAAGGGCGUGUAGGCGGUCAGGUAAGUGGGAUGUGAAAUGCCCCGGCUCACCCGGGGACCGGCAUCCCAUACUGCUUGGCUUGAGUACGGGAGAGGAUGUGGGAAUUCCUGGUGUAGCGGUGAAAUGCGUACGAUAUCAGGAGGAACACCAGUGGCGAAGGCGGCUCACUGGCCCGGUACUGACGCUGAGGUGCGAAAGCGUGGGGAGCAAACAGG
rnacentral:rRNA from 1 species